GCAAAAAUCUUCCGCGCCGAAACUUUGACGGGCGUUAUAUUUAUAUUGAUAAGCAAAAUGCCUCAUCAACAUCAACUGGACAGAAGAUAGCUUAACACUUGCCUUCGAAAAAUUGAGACAAAGUUGGGAUUAAAGCACAACUUUAUUAAUGAGAGUAAAAUGGCUGGACCUCAAUGGCUAAAAUCCUGAUAUAACUUUGAGACAAGCUGAGGGUUUAUCAAUUAAAAGAGCGAAGGGUCUCAACAGAACAGAAGUUGCAAAUUUUUUUCAAACUCUUGACAACUAUUUUAACUGAGAAUAAUUUUCUGGAUAAGCCAGAUAAAAUAUUUAACAUGGAUGAAAGCGGUGUCCAACUCAAUAAUAAAAUUGGUAAAGUAUUAGCUAAGAAAGGUGCUAAAGCAGUUAAAUCAGUUACUUCCGGUGAAAAAGGAGAAAAAUUACUGUUGUUUCUUAAUAUUUCAAAUUGUACUUAAUAAAAUAUCUCAGUAAAUUAUAAAGACUGUUAAAUAAAUAAUAAAGAUUACUCUAAUUGA